CCCUGGGAGAUUGUAUAGCAUGAGAUUUACGGGAGGUAGAGGAAAAAAACCUGUAGAAACAUGAAUCCUAGCAGGGCUGCCAUUGAAAGCGUGCAUUGCUUUUUCAUCUGGCCAUGAACAAACCUCCUGUCUCCUAAGUUUCAGAAAAUGGCACGCAGAAAGGCAGGGCCAGCAAGAAGAGGUCCCAAUCUGGGAUAUGCUUUCCUCAUGUUAAAGGGAGAAAAAGAUAUAUUGCUAAUGGUCCUGUAAGCAGAUGAGCAGAUGAACAGAAGAGCAGAAGAGCAGCACAGCCGAGAAGGAAUGAAUGGCACAGCAGAGAAGGAGAGAAGAGAAGGAGCAUCUGAACGUUGAGAGUUCAACUAGAAAUGGUCAGAGAGGAGACUGAUCAUGGGAUAGCCAAACUCCAGGAGAAGAUUAUGUUCCCACUCCAUCCCCUUUCCAGAUCCCCAAUCCAUCCCUCUGAGAGCCACCUCUACCACUCGAUAAAACCCCUGCAUUUACCAUCC
rnacentral:lncRNA from 1 species